AAACCAACAGGGAUUCCCCUAGUAACGGCGAGUGAAGCGGGAACAGCUCAAAUUUGAAAUCUGGCCCUUGGGUCCGAGUUGUAAUUUGCAGAGGAUGCUUUUGGUGCGGUGCCUUCCGAGUUCCCUGGAACGGGACGCCUUAGAGGGUGAGAGCCCCGUACGGUUGGCCACCAAGCCUGUGUAAAGCUCCUUCGACGAGUCGAGUAGUUUGGGAAUGCUGCUCAAAAUGGGAGGUAUAUUUCUUCUAAAGCUAAAUACUGGCCAGAGACCGAUAGCGCACAAGUAGAGUGAUCGAAAGAUGAAAAGCACUUUGAAAAGAGGGUUAAAUAGCACGUGAAAUUGUUGAAAGGGAAGGAUUUAUGACCAGACUUUUUCUGGGGGGAUCAUCCGGUGUUCUCACCGGUGCACUUCCCCCAGUUGAGGCCAGCAUCGGUUUCUGCCGGGGGAUAAAAGCUUCGGGAAUGUGGCUCCCUUCGGGGAGUGUUAUAGCCUGUUGCAUAAUACCCUGGCGGGGACCGAGGUUCGCGCAUUGCAAGGAUGCUGGCGUAAUGGUUAUUAAUCACCCGUCUUGA
rnacentral:rRNA from 1 species